UCUAACGUGGCAGAUAAGUGCACUGGAUUUAAGCUCCAAAUAUAAGGCCUAAGGCUUUCAUUAGAA
rnacentral:tRNA from 1 species